rnacentral:lncRNA from 1 species
UUUAGUUGCCAUUAAUACCUAGUUAGGCUGACUCGCCCGACGUGGGCGCUCACCCAGGCAUGGGCUCUCCGGCAGCUUCACACACGUUUAUGAUCUUCUGGUGAUUUGAUUCACAAGCGGGGCAGCAUGCGACUCAUCUGCUAUGAACGCGCAAAGGAUUUUAUCGUAUUGGUAAGUGAGCUGAUCGUUGAUUCCAUCCGGCGGAAGCGAGCCGGUUGUUUCCUCUGACAUCUCAAUCGGUGGCAAGCGAUCCAUGGCGAAUUGGCGCUGGCUAAGUACAUGGUAAGGUUUCCAUCAAUUUUUUAUUUUUUUUGCGGGUGAGGUUUCCAUCAAUUUUAUAUUGCAUAUACCAGGAUAUGAUCACCGUAUCUCUAUAAGAAGCGCUCAUGUAUUUUGCUUUCUUCUGAUGGACGGAUGCAUGUGGAUGCACAUACAUCCACAUUACCACAUCUGAUGCACGUACGUGCAUCCUUUGCACUUGGAUUUUUUUAUUUUUUAUUGGGAUUCCACUUCUGUGUUACCUCUGAACUUGACAUGUUGCAUACUUGAGUUGGAAUUCUAAUCUCAUCAUACAAGACAUCAUCUGUUGCGGCUGAUUCGAUCUACCUCGGUUUUGAUAGAUGCAUCGAACACCGGCCGGCCAACCAGCGUGCGUCUUCCGAGUUGACGUGGCAUACUGGUGGCGAUGACGCCUCCCGUCGCAUGGAUUACUGCAACUUCUCUCAUGGACGUCGACGACCACAAUCGUGUUGCUUCGACAGUGUUUCUUUAUUUUCUGUCUAUGAGCCACAUACUAUGGACACCAGAUCUAGAUGCUUGGAAUUGAAUUGUACACUUUUUCGUGGAUUAGACUCCUUUUAAUUCAUGUAUUUCCUUAAGAAACUAUAUACUCCUUUUGUAGUAGUAU